ACAAAUAGGAUGAGAGGAACACAUCUUUUUCUCUCAACCAAACUAAACUAGCCAAUCAGAAGUAGAAUGGGGCGGGUCUUUAAGUGUGGUUGAGAGAUCCAGCUGCAGGUACCGAGCGGAGACCGGAGAUGUCACGUAGCAAGGAAACGUAGUCCGCAGGAUGGAAAACAACAAACCAAAGGAUGAGGACUGCAGCAUUGCUUGGGCUGCCGUGAUACAUGCGAGAGACUCCAUCUAAAUUCAUGAAGAUAUGCGAGCCCAGUGACCAUGAAGAGGAUGUGAUCAAGGGCGUGGUGAUCGGAAUCCUAGUGGUUGUGGAAAAUGCGGAGCCUUUUCCAGAAUUCUACAAUGACGUUGCCCUGGUGAUUGAGGAAGAAGUGGUGAUGCGUCACCCUGAGUGACAUAACUAAUGCUUUUCUGAACCUGAUUGGCCUGGUGUACGCAUUAAACCUUGACUAGCCAAAGGAAUUAAAAUUCACUUUUGAAGUGAUACAGCGCCUGUUCAUUGGAGUUGGAUCACACUCUUGCACCGCAAGAGUUCACUCUUUGAAGAGCAAGUUGCUGAGAUAAGAAACUGUUUUCUUCUCCUUGUUACUAUAAGCAUUUACAGUGUUGCACUGUUUUAAAGUUUAAGACCAUUGUUAUUUUAGAUAUUAUUGUUUUAAAGGGAUACUCCAUCGUUUUGUCAUAUUAAACUGAUAUUACCUUAAAGCAAUAGUUCACUUUGAAAUUAAAUUCUAAUGUUUUAGCUUACCUCAAGGGCAUCCAAGAUGUAGGUGUCUUUGUUUCCGUGGUAGUUUCACUUUUGAUGUUUUUAGGUCAAACUGUUGUUGUCUGUCAGUCAUAUAAUGCAGGUCUAUGGUCACUUGGUAAACAUAACCUCAAAGAGCAUUCACAGUGAAGUCCAAAUUAAACAACUGUCCAUCGUAAGUACACAUUGAUGGCCUUAGACACGAAACGAGCGGUUUGUGUGA